UUCGUCUUUGCCAUGCAGAAUGGGAUGUUCUAUGCCGGUUAUGCUCCAGCUCCUAUGCCUUUCCCCAUGACCACACCGCAAGUGCCUAUGUAUGGAAUGAUUCCUCAGAUGGGUCAGAUGGGGGGUGUACAGGUGAUGGCCACCCAGCCCAUGAUGUACAACCAGCCUGUACUCAGAUCCACAAACCCCUUCUCCCCCAUGCCUGGAGCACAGAUGCAGUUCAUGUAAUUUCAUCGGGGGGAGCAGAGUGACAAAAUUGAUGGCUUAAACACACAGAGCGGACGAACGAUGAAUAGGGGAACGAAUGAAUGAAAGACUGAGGGGCAGACAGAAGAAAAACCAGCCAACACCAAAUACAAGAGGAGAGGAAGAUGAACCCGGGAGAUGGAGGGGUAGAGGAGGAUAGACCCGGGAGAUGGAGAGGUAGAGGA